UACGGAGGGGGCUAGCGUUGUUCGGAAUUACUGGGCGUAAAGCGCGCGUAGGCGGACCUGCAAGUCGGGGGUGAAAGCCCGAGGCUCAACCUCGGAACUGCCUUCGAUACUGCGGGUCUCGAGUCCGGGAGAGGUGAGUGGAAUUCCUAGUGUAGAGGUGAAAUUCGUAGAUAUUAGGAAGAACACCAGUGGCGAAGGCGGCAUCCUGGACCAUAACUGACACUGAUAAGCGAAAGCCAGGGGAGCAAACGGG
rnacentral:rRNA from 1 species